GAUCAUGGCAUUAAAGCUAAAAGAAAGCAAAGAAGCCAUCUGGGCUCAUUUCACAGAUGAAGAAACUGGGGCCCACAGAGAUUAAGUGACUUGUCCCAAGGUGGAAGAGACAAGAAAUGUUUGUAAGAUUGCAUCAGAAUCUACAAUAGAGUAACAAACACAUAAAGUUAUCCCCUGGAAGCUAGCUAAUGAUCUAAAAGACUGAACUGGGAGUGUUUGAAUGGCAACUUAAUUAUCUUGGAGAAAAAGAGUUGAGGAGGUCAUGGAAGAUUAAAGAAAUUGUCAUGGAGGUGAUAGCACCUGAUCUGAAUGUUGAAGGAACAUAAGAAUUGAAAAGCAGAGAUGAAAGAUGGAAUUUAUUCAUUUCUACAGAGAUGUAAUACAGAAUUAAGCAACUGGAAUCUGACAACAUUUCCUCAUUUUCCUGUACUCAAAGUUCUUCAGCUCAAUUUACAGAUGAAGAACAGAGGCAAACAGGAUCAAGUGACUUGCCCAGGUCAUACAGAACAAAGUACUGAGCCUCAGUGAAAUUAUGUGACUUGCCAUGGGACUUGUAAGUAAUGAUAUCAAAGGCAUCAUUUGAACCCACAUCUUCAGGAUUCGGGGAAAGAGAUUACAGAAUCACUGAAUUUCAGAAGAUGGGGAUGAACUGGUUCAAUACAUACCUGAAUGAGAAUCCCUACCAAAGUACUGCAGAAAAGUGGACCUCCAGUAUCUAUUCAAAACCCUCUGUCAAAAAGGAGCCUGUUACCUCCUCAGAUAGGCGGGCAGGCAGUUUGCCAGGCGUGUUUGUUAUCCAGAUUCAAAUUAAUAAAGAGAAAUGUUGCCUAAUAUGAGCA
rnacentral:lncRNA from 1 species